UCUCCGAGGGGCAGUUUGGGGGAUCUGGGGGCGAUCCCUGAGGAGGAUAAGAGCACAUCCCUGAGGGGAAGGGGCCAACUGUGAGGGGCAGAUUUAGGGAUUAGGGGGCAAUCCCUGAUGGGAACGAGGGGCCAUCUCUGAGGGGCAGUUUUGGGGAUGAGGGUGCAUUUCCCUGAGGAGCAACAUAGGGGACUGAGGAGAUCAAUCCCUGAGGGGCAGUUUUGGUGGGCGAUCCUUGAGGUGCAGUUUGGAGGAUGAGGGGGGAUCUCUGAGGGGGAUGAGGCCAUCCCUGAGGGGCAGUUUUGAGGGUAAGGCAGCAUUUCCCUGAGGAGCAAUACAGUGAAGCAAUCAAUCCCUGAGGGGCAGUUCUGGGGGGAAAGGGGGCGAUUCCCUAAGGAACAAUGUGGAGGAGUGAGAGGAGCAAUCCCUGAGGGGCAGAUUUGGGGAUGAGGGGGUGAUCCCUGAGGGUGAUGAGGGGCUAUCCCUGAGGGGCAGUUUGGAGGAUGAGAGUUGAUCCUGGAGGAAGAGUAAGGAGGUGAUGAUCCCUGAAGAGGAUGAGGGGCCAUCCCUGGGGGACAGUUUUGAGGACAAGGAGACAUUUCCCUGAGGAGCAACAUGGUGGGGGUGGGCAAGAGGAACAAUCUCUGAGGGGCAGUGUGGGGUGAUAAGGGAGCAAUUCCCUGUGGAGCAAUGUGGGGAGUGAUGGGAACAAUCCCUGAGUUGUGAGGGGGUGAUCCCCGAGGAGCAGUUUUGGGAGAUAAGGGGGCAUUUCCCUUAGGAGCAAUGUGGUGAGGGGCACAGGACGCAAUCCCUAGCGGGAAGUUUGGGGGACAAGGGGGUGAUCCCUGAGAAAGACAAAGGCUCAUUGCCGAGGCCCAGUUUUGUAAGAAGAGGGGGCAGUCCCUGAAGGGGAGUGAGGGAGUGAUCCCUGAGGGACAGUUUUGAGGGAUAAGGAGGUGAUUCCCUGAGGAACAAUGUGGAGGAGUGAGGGGAGGAAUCCCUGAGGGGCAGUUUGGGAGACAAGGCACAGGCUCCUCAUUUCCCUGAGGAGCAAUGUGGGCAGUGAAGAGGAGCAAUCCCCAGGAGGCAAUUUUGGGGAAUAAAGGGGCCAUCCUGAGAAGGGAGUCAUUCUGGCAAGGACAAGGGGUGAGGGGGCCCAAAGAGCAGUUUGUGAAGGGAUGAGAAAUGGGGGUGGAACUCAUGGAGGGGAGCUUGGGACUUGUGGGGCUGAAGGGGGGUCGGUGCUGGGGGUGAGGAGCCAGGGAGGUUUGGGCUGUGGAGAGGGGCAGUGGGUGGGAUUGGGGUGGAGGGGAGGCUCUCCCUUCAUGCUCUCACAAUCCAGCAGACCCAGGGUUUUGCCAUCCCCAGACCUGCUUUGUGCCCAGCAAUUCCUCACAAUAAUUAGCUCAGAGUUCCUGACUGCUGUUGCUGACACAGGCCUGGAGCACCACAGGGGCACCACAUCACCAGGAUCGCCACAGCAGGUUGAAGCAAGAGAGAACACACUUUUCCUAAAGGAGGAAGAUUAUCCACCCUCUAUUACACAGAGUUUUCCUUUUGGUGUUUUUCUUUUUGCUGAGUGUGGCAGAGCAGAGAUUUGCUGUGAAAUCUGGCAGAAGGAGCGAGCUUUGAUGACGGAUGCACUGAACAGUUUUGUCUGCUCAGUGUCUUCAAGAGCUGCUCUGAGACUAAGGUUAGAGACCACCAAACAGUGCAGGCUCCUUUGGUUUUGAAAAGACUUACUGGCAGGUGUAUUUUAUA